rnacentral:lncRNA from 1 species
CCUCGUUGUCACUCGGUGCCACAGGGACGUGUCCAUGUCCUGGUGUCACCUUCUGGGUUCCUGUCCGUGUCCUGGUGUCACCUCAUGGGUUCCUGUCCUUGUCCUGGUGUCACCUCGUGGGAUGUGUCCGUGUCCUGGUGUCACCUCAUGGGUUCCUGUCCUUGUCCUGGUGUCACCUCAUGGGACGUGUCCAUGUCCUGGUGUCACCUUCUGGGUUCCUGUCCAUGUCCUGGUGUCACCUCGUGGGACGUGUCCGUGUCCUGGUGUCACCUUCUGGGUUCCUUUCUGUGUCCUGGUGUCACCUCAUGGGACGUGUCCAUGUCCUGGUGUCACCUCAUGGGUUCCUGUCCUUGUCCUGGUGUCACCUCGUGGGACGUGUCCAUGUCCUGGUGUCACCUCAUGGGUUCCUGUCCAUGUCCUGGUGUCACCUCGUGGAGAUGUGUCCAUGUCUGUGUCCCAGUGUCACCUCGUGGGACGUGUCCGUGUCCUCGCUGUCCCCCACGAGUGCCACCAUCCCCGUGGGUGCCUUGGGGACAUGUCCUUGUCCUCGCCGGUGCCACCGGGGCCUGGCCGUGUCCUUGUCCUCACUGGUGCCACCAGGACCUGGCCUUGUCCUUGUCCUCGCCAGUGCCACCAAGACUUGUCCUUGUCCUGGCCGGUGUCACCUGGGUGACAUCUUCUCCUCCUCGGUGUCACUGUCCCUGUCCUUGUCCCCGCUGUCACCUCAGGUGCCACCAGGACCUGUCCUGGUCCUGGCCGGUGUCACCUCAGGGGCCGGGGGGGCCCCUCCGUGUCCUCGCUGUCACCGCGGGGGUGGCCAGGGUGUCCCCAGGGUGUCCCCAGGGAUGUCCCCAGGGAUGUCUUCUCUGUCCCAGGGGUGUCCCCAGGAGUGUCCCAGGGAUGUCCUUGGUGUCCCCUGUGUCCCCAGGGAUGUCCCCUCUGUCCCAGGGGUGUCCCCAGGGAUGUCCUGGGUGUCCCCAGGGUGUCCCCAGGGAUGUCCCCAGGGAUGUCCUGGGUGUCCCCUGUGUCCCCAGGGAUGUCCCCUCUCUCCCAGGGGUGUCCCCAGGGAUGUCCUGGGUGUCCCCUGUGUCCCCAGGGAUGUCCCCUCUCUCCCAGGUGUGUCCCCAGG